rnacentral:rRNA from 1 species
GCACUAAAACCCUGUGUUAACGUACCUUUGUUGCUUUGGCAGGCCGCGGCCUCCGCUACGGGCUCACGCUCGUGUGCGCCUGCCAGAGGACCCCAACUCUUGUUUUUAGUGAUGUCUGAGUACUAUUAAAUAGUUAAAACUUUCAACAACGGAUCUCUUGGUUCUGGCAUCGAUGAAGAACGCAGCGAAAUGCGAUAAGUAAUGUGAAUUGCAGAAUUCAGUGAAUCAUCGAAUCUUUGAACGCACAUUGCGCCCGCUGGUAUUCCGGCGGGCAUGCCUGUUCGAGCGUCAUUAUGACCAACUCACGCUCCGCGUGGUCUUGGGGUCCGCUGCCUCGGCGGCCCCUAAACGCAGUGGCGGUGCCGUGCGGCUCUCAGCGUAGUAAUACUUCUCGCUACAGGGUCCGGACGGUGCUGGCCAGCAACCCCAACUUCUUUAGGUUGACCUCGGAUCAGGUAGGGAUACCCGCUGAACUUAAGCAUAUCAUA